rnacentral:tRNA from 1 species
ACUAUUUUGGCAGAGAAGUGCAAUGGAUUUAGAAUCUAUUUAUGUGGAUAGAGUAUUCAUAAGUAGUA